AUUGUCCACUCCUACAUUGCAGGUGUUGUUGCUGUGUCACAUAUGUGUCAGUAGGUGGCAGAAAAGAGAUGUACUAUGUGUAUUCAGUAUUUCAGUAUUUUGACCUGUGAACACCUGACUGAUUAGUAGCCUAACAUU